GAUGAACGCUGGCGGCGUGCCUAAUACAUGCAAGUCGAGCGAAUGGAUUAAGAGCUUGCUCUUAUGAAGUUAGCGGCGGACGGGUGAGUAACACGUGGGUAACCUGCCCAUAAGACUGGGAUAACUCCGGGAAACCGGGGCUAAUACCGGAUAACAUUUUGAACCGCAUGGUUCGAAAUUGAAAGGCGGCUUCGGCUGUCACUUAUGGAUGGACCCGCGUCGCAUUAGCUAGUUGGUGAGGUAACGGCUCACCAAGGCAACGAUGCGUAGCCGCCCUGGAAGGGUGAUCGGCAACACUGGGACUGCGACACGGCCAAGACUCCUACGGGAGGCAGCAGUAGGGAAUCUUCCGCAAUGGACGAAAGUCUGACGGAGCAACGCCGCGUGAGUGAUGAAGGCUUUCGGGUCGUAAAACUCUGUUGUUAGGGAAGAACAAGUGCUAGUUGAAUAAGCUGGCACCUUGACGGUACCUAACCAGAAAGCCACGGCUAACUACGUGCCAGCCGCCGCCGUAA
rnacentral:rRNA from 1 species